rnacentral:rRNA from 1 species
AGUGAACGCUGGCGGUAGGCCUAACACAUGCAAGUCGAACGGCAGCACAGUAAGAGCUUGCUCUUACGGGUGGCGAGUGGCGGGCGGGUGAGGAAUACAUCGGAAUCUACUUUUUCGUGGGGGAUAACGUAGGGAAACUUACGCUAAUACCGCAUACGACCUACGGGUGAAAGCAGGGGAUCUUCGGACCUUGCGCGAUUGAAUGAGCCGAUGUCGGAUUAGCUAGUUGGCGGGGUAAAGGCCCGCCAAGGCGACGAUCCGUAGCUGGUCUGAGAGGAUGAUCAGCCACACUGGAACUGAGACACGGUCCAGACUCCUACGGGAGGCAGCAGUGGGGAAUAUUGGACAAUGGGCGCAAGCCUGAUCCAGCCAUACCGCGUGGGUGAAGAAGGCCUUCGGGUUGUAAAGCCCUUUUGUUGGGAAAGAAAAGCAGCAGGUUAAUACCCCGCUGUUCUGACGGUACCCAAAGAAUAAGCACCGGCUAACUUCGUG